rnacentral:rRNA from 1 species
CGUUGAUUACGUCCCUGCCCUUUGUACACACCGCCCGUCGCUACUACCGAUUGAAUGGCUUAGUGAGACCUCCGGAUCGGCUUUGAGGAGUCGGCGACGACACCUCGUCGCUGAGAAGUUGGUCAAACUUGGUCAUUUAGAGGAAGUAAAAGUCGUAACAAGG